CAGUCUCACUUUGACGCGCUCGGAAUCGCUAGUAACGACGGAUGAGAAUCAACAGUCCGCUGUCCCCACUGCCGUGUUUGUCCGUGAAAAAGUGAAAAACAAGUUUGAUUUUUGCAGAAUUUCAAUUUGGCCUAUCCACGGGGGAUGCUCGCUCGCUCGCACGCUCGCUUGCCACUUGACUAGCGCAGCAUUGGCCAAAAAUCACCAAAAGAAAAAUCAUUUGUUUACCAAACAAACAAAAAUUAAAUUGAAAUUUUCACAUUAACCAAAAAAAGAAACCAAACAAAUAGAAAUAAAAAAAAAAAAAUAUAAAAACAGCGAAAAUAUACAUAAUUCGUGUAUCUGAAAAUACCUAGUUGCGUUACGGUGUGAAUCCGCAGUAGUGUAUAUCCAUAUAAAAGCACACGCAUAUGGACAUAUACUUACGUGCGUCCAUAUGUACAUAAUAUAUCUGUCUAAAGUAGUAAUUAUUUCCAGAGGAAAAGUGAUGCCCCUGCCAGCUUCUUGCAUACUGUGAAGUAAGCUUCUCAGUCAAUUAAUUCAAAAAAAAAAAAGUAAAACAAGAGAAAAUAUUACGAAAUCAGUGAUUUGUGAUUGUUGUGGUCUUCAAGCUGCUGUUUUUUCCAAAAGUUUGCACCUUUUGACGAUUUGUUGUAGUUGACCUCUGUCAGUACCAAAAGCGACAAAGUCCACUGGAGAAGUUGAGACACCCCUUUCCCACCUCUAGCACCCAAUUUCAACAAAUCAAAGUUGAAAACUCAACAACGGCGGCUGUUAAAUUAACGAUGCAUUCCACAAAAUAACAAAACAAAAGCAUUAAUCUUCCAAACACUAAGUCCAUAGAAGAUGAUCUGUAAGGUACGAUGCUAGUCUUGGUAGUCGAAUUCGAAUAAAAUUCAUUAUUGCGCGGUCUAAACCAAAAGUCCAUAGCAAGACAAAAUGUUAAUUAAAGAAUAUCGCAUACCAUUGCCACUAACUGUGGAUGAAUAUCGCAUAGCCCAGCUGUAUAUGAUAGCGAAAAAAAGUCGCGAAGAGAGUCAUGGAGAAGGAAGUGGAGUAGAAAUUAUCAUUAAUGAACCCUACAACGACGGCCCAGGUGGUAAGGGACAAUACACUAAGAAGAUAUACCAUGUUGGCAGUCAUUUGCCAGGCUGGAUAAAAAGUUUGCUACCCAAAAGCGCUUUGACCGUAGAAGAAGAGGCCUGGAAUGCCUAUCCCUACACCAGAACACGCUAUACUUGCCCAUUUGUUGAAAAGUUCCUUCUUGAUAUUGAGACAUACUACUUCCCAGACAAUGGCUAUCAAGACAAUGUCUUUAAACUGUCUGGCAGUGAUUUAAGAAAUCGAGUUGUUGAUGUUAUUGACAUUGUUAAGGAUCAACUAACUGGAGGUGACUAUGUCCGAGAAGAAGAUCCCAAAUUAUUUGUGUCCGAAAAGACAGGCCGCGGUCCUUUGGCCGAUGAGUGGCUGGAGGAAUAUUGGCGGGAAGUACAAGGCAAAAAGCAACCAACUGCCCGCAACAUGUCCUUGAUGUGCGCCUACAAAAUAUGUCGCGUGGAGUUUCGUUACUGGGGCAUGCAAACAAAACUGGAGAAAUUCAUACACGAUAUCGCGCUGCGAAAAACCAUGGUAAGAGCCCAUCGUCAAGCUUGGGCUUGGCAAGAUGAAUGGCAUGGUUUGACCAUCGAUGAUGUUAGAGAAAUUGAACGACAAACCCAAUUGGCACUGGCUCGCAAAAUGGGUGGCGGUGAUGUCAGUGGCGAGGAAGAAGAAGAAGAGGAGGAGGAAGAAGAGAGUAUAUCAGAAGCCCAUGAUGCGAAACACAUAGGUGAGGUUCCAAAACGUGAGGAACGUCAAAGCAAAGAACCCCCAGUGGUUAGGCAACAGCCUCCCAGCGAAGAAGUCUCAACCGAUGACGAAGGCCAACAAGAGCAAAAUAACUCCAGUGAAAGAUCACGCUCGCAAAGCAUACAAAUGGCUGCGAAAUCCAAAUACGGUUCCAAAGCGGGCGGUUUGCACUCGCCCCUUGGUUCUGCUCACAGUUUUGAACUACAGCCGCAUGCCAAAAAUGCUAAACAUAAAAAUGUGGCAAAUUGGCGUAUGGAGCGCUUGGAGGUUGAUUCCAAAUCCAACUCAGAUGAAGAGUUCUUCGACUGUGUGGAUACUAAUGAAACGAACUCCCUGGCAAAAUGGAGUUCGUUGGAGUUGCUGGGAGAAACCGAUGAUAGUCCGCCACCACAUAGUGGAGUACCUGGUAGAGAUAACAAAGAUGACAGUAUUUUCAAUCAAGAUUUUCUUAUGAGAGUUGCUUCGGAGCGAGGCAACAAGCGACAAUUGCGUUCCUCCGCCAGCCUGGAAAGAGGUGGACAUGAUGUCUCGCCGCCUGGCUCACCGGGAACACCUUCAUGUUCAACAACCAUAUUGAUUUUAGUAGUACAUGCUGGUAGUGUGCUAGAUGCUACAAGUGAACUAACUUCGAAAAAAUCUGAUGUCACCACCUUCCGGGGGGCCUUCGAAUCUGUUAUGAGACAACACUAUCCAAGUCUAUUGUCUCAUGUGACCAUCAAAAUGGUACCUUGUCCCUCCAUAUGCACUGACGCUUUGGGCAUACUGUCUAGUCUUAGUCCAUACUCAUUUGAUGCCUCUCCUUCAGCGGAUAUUCCGAAUAUAGCCGACGUUCCUAUCGGUGCCAUACCAUUGUUGUCAGUAAGCUCGCCAGAAUUUCAUGACACUGUCAAUAAAACUGUGGCCGCCGCCAAUAUUGUCUACCAUGAAUUCCUGAAGUCUGAUGAAGGACAUGGCUUUUCUGGACAAGUUGUUAUGCUGGGCGACUCAAUGGGCUCUUUGUUGGCCUAUGAAGCCCUGUGUCGAGUCUCUUCUAGUGACGGUGGCAGUCGCUCAUCACGUACCACCGAUGACGAUGAACGUUUCGAUGAUAGUGAUAUGGAUGCCAAACGCCUAUUGGUGGCUCCCUCACCUCGACGCAGACGUUCCUCCUCGACCAGUGACUCAAAACAUACGAAAUUAGAUUUUGAGGUUAGUGACUUUUUCAUGUUUGGCUCGCCUUUAUCUAUUGUUCUGGCUGCCAAAAAACUGCAUGAUUCUAAAACAGCAUUGCAGCGUCCAAAUUGUCAUCAUGUAUACAAUAUGUUUCAUCCAACCGAUCCAACGGCUUCCCGUCUCGAGCCAUUGCUUAGUGCUCGAUUUUCUAUGUUACCUCCAGUCAAUAUACCACGAUAUGCCAAAUAUCCAUUGGGAAAUGGACAACCGUUGCAUUUAUUGGAGGUUAUACAAUCGCAUCCACAUCAUUUUAGCGAAGGUCACAACUUGUUGGGAGGACGACGCUUAUCGGAUGCCUCUAUGCAAAGUACAGUGUCGGGUUUGAUUGAGAAUAUCUCCCUAAGUACUAUAAACACAUUACAAAGCAAAUGGUGGGGUACUAAACGCCUAGACUACGCUCUCUACUGCCCUGAAGGCUUGAGUAAUUUUCCUGCCAAUGCUUUGCCCCAUCUAUUUCAUGCCAGUUACUGGGAGAGUGCUGAUGUUAUAGCAUUCAUACUAAGACAGAUUGGCAAGUUCGAGGGAAUUCCAUAUGUCACCUCGCCCGAUAACAAGGAGACAAUACAAUUCAAUCCGGGACAACCACGCGAAAAAUGGAUAAGAAAGAGAACUUCGGUGAAGUUGAAGAAUGUUGCCGCCAAUCAUCGGGCGAAUGAUGUGAUAGUGUUGGAGGGUCGAGAACAACGAAUCAAUGCCCGUUUCAUGUAUGGACCUUUAGAUAUGAUAACAUUGCAUGGCGAAAAGGUUGACAUUCACAUUAUGAAGGAUCCACCUGCUGGCGAGUGGAACUACCUCAGUACAGAAGUCACUGACAAGACGGGACGCAUUUCCUACACUGUUCCAGAUGAAGUUACUCUGGGCUAUGGCAUUUACCCGAUCAAAAUGGUGGUACGCGGCGACCACACUUCAGUCGAUUGCUAUUUGGCGGUGGUGCCACCGCUAACCGAAUGCGUAGUCUUUAGCAUAGAUGGCUCAUUCACAGCUUCUAUGUCGGUUACGGGGCGAGAUCCCAAGGUAAGGGCAGGAGCCGUAGAUGUUUGCCGCCACUGGCAGGAGCUGGGCUAUUUGCUGAUUUACAUGACUGGUCGGCCGGAUAUGCAGCAGCAGCGUGUUGUCUCCUGGCUGAGCCAACACAAUUUCCCCCAUGGCUUAAUAUCCUUUGCCGAUGGUUUGACCACCGACCCGCUGGGUCACAAGACAGCCUAUUUGAAUAAUUUGGUACAAAAUCAUGGAAUCUCAAUUAUGGCAGCUUACGGCAGCAGUAAAGACAUCAGUGUUUACUCCAAUGUGGGCUUGAGAAUGGAUCAAAUAUUCAUUGUGGGCAAGGUUAGCAAAAAGCUGCAAACCAAUGCCACUGUCCUCAAUGAUGGUUAUGCUGCACAUUUGGCCGCUUUACAAGUUGUUGGCGGCUCUCGACCCGCUAAGGGUAACGCCCGCAUGGUCAUUCCUCGUGGAUGUUUCAACUUGCCGGGGCAAACUACAAAUCCCAGACGUAGAAGCAACGAGACCGGUCUAUCUUCGCCAAUACGCAGUGGUUACCUGAAGCGCAAAACCUAUUUUGGACACCAACACUAAUCCUCGCAGAAGCGACAACAGCACAGCUUCACUCCUACCUACCAACCAACUCGUCCAGAUGGUCUGUCCAGCUACAACCAUGAUACUCGGUGGUAUCGCUCGCAGCAUCAUGUUCAUCAUCAUAUCCUCUUCUUUCCCCAAAAUAAAACUAGAAAAUUAUAGAUGUUACUUAGAGAGAAAAAAAGGGAGAGUUCUAUCCACUCAUGCCAGCAACUAUCUACCACCUCAGCUUCCCAAGCCAUCAGAAUAGCCGAGUUCAUUUGCCAAAAUUCUACCGAAGCGAUUAACCACAAGCAAGCAUAGCCUCCUAAUCUGAAAAGUGCGCCAAUGCAUUGUACCAUAGCAGAGGACUUAGAGUGCGUCAGUGCGUUCAAACUAAUUACCAAACUAUUAUAGAAAACAAACAAACAAUCAAUCAUUACUCAAAAUUAGAUAUUAACCAAAAACUAAAAAGACGUCUAAUAUAAGUCACGCAGUACCUGGCUAGAAAGACUGUAUCCUCCUGUUGUUUGAUGGUAUUACAAACUACAUAAAAGUCCCUCACAAAACCAGUAAAACAUUAAAAACAAACCAAUGAAAUUAAAAAACGAAAAUAAUUUAAAUUUUAAUGAAGCUGUGGCGGUGCACUUUUAUGCAACUGAAAUGGGACAUUUGAACCUACUACAUUGUAAGUAAACCAUAAACCCAUCUCCAGUGCACAAAUGACGCGAGUAAGCAUGGAGUCAACAUUAAAGCCUGCUCAUCAUGUUUUCCCGCAUUGGCUAUCCUUUCAAAGAGAAUACGCUUAAUGAAGUUUGCAUCAGACACUGAUGCAGCAGCAUAGCAAUAAUCGUUUAGCAAGUAUCCGUGUACUCAAUCUACUCACUAUCCCACUUCCCACGUAUUGUAUGUAGUCAUUGUAGGGAUGUAUUGUUAUUUCCUUGUUCCAAUUUAUUAUAUCCUACACACACAGCCACCUGUGUAUUUACAUAAAAUGUAAGAAUAGUUAAUGUUAUUUGUUAAUUAUAAGAGUCAAAAUCACCACCAAAUCGGACCAGUUUCCUAUUAUUGGUUUCUCAUUGAAAGGCGCUUAUAUGUAUCUCAGUAUGUUUGUCUUAGACUUAGACUACACCAUGAUACACCCACUUGCAUCCAUCAAAAUAGAUGUAGAUUAGUUCAAUAGAAAUGAAUGCUAUUUUUUAAGAAAUUUUUUCUUGGAAAAAUCCUUUGUUGAUCCAUUGGGAAAAUGCUGUCAAAAGCAAUGCAAGGAAAAUUGCUUGAGGUUCUGGCAUGCAAAGUUCUAAUUAAUAAUUGCCAAUACUUAUUUUUCCAAAAAAAAAGACUCAUACCUACGAUAUUUAAAAAAACUCUUCAACUCCAAUCGCCUUGAAAAUGAUUACCGGCGAUGAUCGAAAUAUUGGUCGUAAAAAUAGAUAUAUAAUUAAAAAGUAUCCGAGUCAAAAGUUGAGGAAAUAAUAAAAAAAAAUAUUUUUUUUUGAAAAAUAGAGCAGUAUUUUACUAGUAUACACGCUUUAAGAGUAUGCUUAAUAUCCAGCAUAGAAAGAUCAAUUUAUAUGAGAGCUAUAUCCGUUUUCAAAACUAUCUCUAACGUUUUUGGAAAAUUUUUGUUUGUUUCUAUUUCGAGACGAGCUGGAUUAUCGGACAUUUUUUGGAAAAUGUCAAUGUCAACUUGUGAUGCCAGUUUAUUUAUGGAUUGAAAGAGUUCUGCAUCAUCACUGACUUUACGACCACUUUUAAAGUUUUACUCGUUGACAACAGAACUCUGCAACUUUUAGGUAUUUUCCAUAUCCUAAGGUUUUUAGUAGGAGUAGAGAACUUUUUUCCAGCAUUGCUCUAGUAGCAAGCGAUUUACUGGGGCAAUGCUGAUACUCAUAAUUUACCAUAUGAGAAAAUCGACAGCGUAACCUGAUAUCGAGGAAAGAUCCCCAAUAAAUGCAUAUUUAUGCUUGAGAGUGAAUGAGUAUUCGGGAUCAACGUGGGUAAUUUUGUAUUAUAUAGCUUUCGUUUCUUUGCUAGUAGUUAUAUAUUGGAUAUGUGAAACAUGAACAAAGUAGUAAAUAAUCUGUAUUUGAAAUAUGUGUUUCCUUCAUUUCAUUCAUGGUCAAAGAAAACAUAAUCCAUAUACUGAGUAUUAUGGCUAAUGUGGGGUGCAUUUGUGUACGCCCACAUGCAUUAUGUACAUAUUUACCAACAUAAGACCAUCAUAGAUUUACACAUUACACUAAUUAUUCAAAAAAAGAAACACUACGUACAUAGUAUUGUCCCACCAUUACCUGAAUAAAACAUGGUAAAAAUAGUACAAUUCACAAAAUAAUUAACUGAAACCAAAUAAAAGAAAACAAAUAACAGAGAGUUUAUCUAUUUUAACUAUAUAAUUCAUAUUUUUGGAAGUCCUCAUCAUCAAACCGACAAACGUAACUCAUAAAUUGAGCAAUCACUUUUUGAACAGAACAAAAAUGCAAAAACAAAUAAAAAAAUAUGUAAUUUUGAUGUGAUUUUUUGAAACAAAAAUAAAAAUUCAAAACGACAAGUAUUUCUAAAAUAUGUGUAUUUACAUGGAACUAGUAAAAACAUGGUACAGCAAAAUAUCCAUAAAUAAUUGCAAACAUAUAUUUUCAUGAUAUGAUAUUAAACACACAACAAAAAGCUAAACAAAAAUAUGACAAAAAAAUAAACAAAGUAUUUACUAAACUGUAUGAUGUAUUUAUUUAAUUAAUCCGAUAUGAACAAGAAAAUAUAUUUAAAUAUGUAUUUAUAAGCUUAUAUUUAUUGACGUUGUUGGCAAAAGAAAAAACUCAAAAAAAAACCAAUGCAAAAAUUUCAAUUCCACAACAUGAGGGAAAAUCCCAAAUCUUUAAAAACAGAAAAGAAUAAAAAUACACUGAAACUCAAACAAAUACAAAAAAUAACAUUUCAA